rnacentral:rRNA from 1 species
UACGUAUGGGGCGAGCGUUGUCCGGAAUUAUUGGGCGUAAAGGGUACGUAGGUGGUCUUUCAAGUCGGUGGUUAAAGGCUACGGCUCAACCGUAUUAAGCCGCCGAAACUGGAAGACUUGAGUGCAGGAGAGGAAAGUGGAAUUCCUAGUGUAGCGGUGGAAUGCGUAGAUAUUAGGAGGAAUACCGGUGGCGAAGGCGACUUUCUGGCCAUAAACUGACGCUGAGGUACGAAAGCGUGGGUAGCAAGCAGG